GAUAAACGCUGACAGAAUGCUUAACACAUGCAAGUCGAUGAUGGGAGCUAGCUUGCUAGAAGAAGUCAUGGCGGACGGGUGAGUAACGUGUAAAGAACUUACCAUAUAGACUGGGAUAACAGAGGGAAACUUCUGAUAAUACUGGAUAAGUUAGUAGUAGCAUUACUAAGUAAUGAAAGGUAGCAAUACGCUAUAUGAGAGCUUUGCAUCCUAUUAGCUAGUUGAUGGGGUAAAAGCCUACCAAGGCGAUGAUAGGUAGCCGGCCUGAGAGGGUGGACAGCCACAAGGGGACUGAGAUACGGCCCUUACUCCUACGGGAGGCGGCAGUGGGGAAUAUUGGACAAUGGAGGCAACUCUGAUCCAGCAAUUCUGUGUGUGUGAAGAAGGUUUUAGGACUGUAAAACACUUUUAGUAGGGAAGAAAGAAAUGACGGUACCUACAGAAGAAGCGACGGCUAAAUACGUG
rnacentral:rRNA from 1 species